rnacentral:antisense_RNA from 1 species
GAGGUGCGGCGCGGGCCCUCCUCCCAUUGGACCCGGCGCUCCCGGCAGGGGGUGACCUUUAUCUUCAUGGCCCAGUGUGACUGCAAGAGCUCUAGCAUCCAAGUUCCCAGCAGAAGGAUGGAGGACUGACUGGAAAAACAAGGAGACACAGGGUAUGCAUCGGGAUCUUUCUGCUGAUGCAGCUGUUAAGAGUGUUUCAUAAACUGUGACAACACUGAGACUUGAAGAAGCUGAGUGAGAAGGCCAUGCAGAUAUCUUGGAGAAGUGCAUUCCAGGCAGAGGAAAAGCCAGUGCAGAGACACUGAAGCAGGGCAUGACUGAUGUGUAUAAGGAGCAUCAUAUACAUGAUCAUCUACAGUCCACUGAGAAUAGCAGACGAAAGGCCAGGUGCAGUGCAUGUAAUCCCAGCACUUUGGGAGACUGAGAUGGGAAGAUCGCUUGAGGCCAGGAGUGCAAGACCAGCCUGGGCAACACAGCAAGACCUUGACUCUACUAAAAAAAAAAAAGGAUCCUUCAACUUCAACAAUAAUAACACGAGG